CUGACUUGAUCCCUAGCCUGGGAACCUCCAUGUGCCUGCCUCAGGUGCAGCUGUAAAAAGCAAAACAAAAACAAAAACAAAAACAAAAAAAAAAAAAAGCACAAAAUACUAAGUUUUCAAAAAACAGUAUUUUAUUUGACAUUAAACAACAAACUCUUCAAUUUGUCUCAGUUGUGGCACAUAGACAAGUUUACAUUGAUUUUUGGUGGUCAUCCAUGUUGAACAAAAUUUUUCAAUCUUCAAAACAACCAAGGCUCAGAGAUUCUAUGUUUCACAUCAGUUCACAAGUCCAGUGUGUCUUGCAUUCACUGGAGUAUUUUGGCAUAGAUUCCCUUUGAGGUAGGUGAAAGAAUAGAGAUGAAGCCAUUCUCUUUAAAAAAAAAAAAAGAUUUGUUCACAACUUCAUUUAUGCUACAAAAAUCAGAUGAUAGCAUGUUCUCUUAUUCUUGUUUAUCAGUAGUGGUAGUCUUGGAUGCCAGAAACUGUGAAAGGAAGGCUUUUAGUUACUUUCUCCUUUCCACUUUUCCAAUAAUGCACCCCCACCCCCACCUCAAGAAAGAGGAAUAACUGCAUCCAGCUGAUAUCAUAUAUUAAACAUUAUUUUUUUUAUUAAACAUUAUUAACAUGUCAGAAAAUCCUCUUCAACUUUGCUCCCUCCAGCAACUAUCCUUCGCCAUUCAUCUAUUUCCUUCUCCAUCACAGAUGUUACUGUUGGCUUGCCAUGUAAACUAAAGUUUGGAUGCUUUGAAAUAUGUAUGAAAUAUGUAUGACUUACAGUAAACAAAAAAGCCCUCUUCUUUUGCAAUGAAUUUCGGCUUUAGCUUAAGACUACAUUGAUUUAAUUAAUCAACUUCAUAACAUCUAGCACAAGGCUUAAUUGACAGCCAUUAACAAAAAAUGUUUCUCAAAAACAUAUAGAAAUGAGGGGGAACAAAGGAAUUUGUCCUCAUCUUAAUAGUGACCAGUUACUGGAGUUGCAUUUAAACUAAAGAUGCAAUCCCCCAAGUUAGAUCUGGAGGUAGUAAUACUUUUAAGACCAAUCCAGAACAAAGGCAGGUUGCCCAUCGAACUAGGUCUGACCUUUUCUUUCACUCUUCCUCCUAUCCCACCCUCUCUGAGUGAUUUAAAAAUAGAAAAGGCCAAAGCCCAUUUGGGUCAAAAUUUAGACUUUUUUUGGUGGGGGUAUUUCUUCUAUAAUUUACACACAGAUCUCUGUUGCAGGUUCAGUGACAAUGACAAUGAAUUUAGCAUCCCCACUUGCUAUCUCUGGGGAUAAGAAAGAGUAACUAAUCAAUGUUCAUUCAGCAGAAAUGUAUGCCAGUUUAAGACUUACAAAUU
rnacentral:lncRNA from 1 species